AGCGAACGCUGGCGGCGUGCUUAACACAUGCAAGUCGAGCGAAGGUGUUUCAAGGGUAACCUUGAGAUACACUUAGCGGCGGACGGGUGAGUAAUACGUGGAUAACUUACCUCUAGGCCUGGGAUAACCCCGGGAACGUGGGGCGUAAUACCUGAUAAGACCACAUUGUCUACGGACAAAGGGGUAAAGGUAGGCUGUGCAAACAGCUAUCGCCAAAAG
rnacentral:rRNA from 1 species